CGAACCUAGCAGAACACCAGAUGUCCAGAUGUAGUGAUCAAUUUUCUAGGCUUUUGCUUCUAGCUUUAGUCAUCAUAUUAGAGCCUUUACCUUUACAUUUUCCUCAUUGAUUCAACCUUCCAGGUUCCAGCAUAGUGAGUAUCACAUAUCACCUUCCUAUGACGUAGCGUUCAGUUUUCAUCUUUGAUUCUGAAAUUUUAGUUGGUUCAACUUCAGAGGGGAAUAACAAUGGGAUUUGAGUCGACAAUGGAUGCAAAGCCUAGGGCCACCCCUGUACCAGCACAUUAUGUAUCCCUCAUUCCCUCCUAAUCUUCCCAUUGUUAUGUACUGAACUUUGCUUGCUUCGUCCAUAGCAAUUAGUUAAACAUCAUGUUCGAUAUAAGUGUUUCAACUGUUGAAGGAAUCAGGAUUGACUGUAAGCAAACAAACCAGCCCUGAAAUUCGCCCCUACUUAGGAGUCACAACCACUAGGGUAUGAACCCUUUUGCGGUGGUUGUGUGAGUCAUGGGGGGAGUUCUUAUGUCGAGAAUCAUCUGGCUGAUAUAUGAGCUAGAAGAAAGUCAAAAGUGCUAAUUGACAUUGGAGAGGAGGAAAAGCAAUAUGCUUUCUGCCGCCACAGUGAGAAGCAAGCUAUUGCAUGGAAGGAUGCCACACUCUGCGAACUUACUGAUCUUAUAUCUGCAUUCACCACCAUCAUUGGUCCAUUGCCUAGACUGGCAGGAGGCACGCCAAAACCAAGUGACCAGCGAUCAAGUUGAUGGUUGUCUGUUCUUCAAUCUCCACGGCGCAUCCCAUCUCCAAAGCAAGGCUUGUUUGAAGGAGGUGAUGGCAUGACGAUGUCCCUGCAAGGCAUUGUUGUCCACAAUUGGUCUGAUCCCCUCCUGCUCUCCAUAGGUAACUAAUCCACAAUUGCGUGGAUUGGUUAGCAAGUGUUGUGUCCACGAGUGAGAUCCGGCACAUGGACUAUCUGUGCAGGCACAACCUCUCUAUGUGAGUUUUGUUUCCCUAGCUUCUUUCCCAGCUGUUGAUCGGAAUAGCAAUAUUAGGUACUGGCAUUGAUUUAUGUAGAUCUAGAAUGCCUACAUUGACAUUUAUAUAUUCAGUGUUGAUAUGAUGUACAUUGUAGCCUUCCAAGAUUUUGAUUUUGAUCACAAAUAUUUUUGUA